AAUAGAUACCCUGGUAGUCCACGCCGUAAACGAUGAGUGCUAAGUGUUAGGGGGUUUCCGCCCCUUAGUGCUGCAGCUAACGCAUUAAGCACUCCGCCUGGGGAGUACGGUCGCAAGACUGAAACUCAAAGGAAUUGACGGGGGCCCGCACAAGCGGUGGAGCAUGUGGUUUAAUUCGAAGCAACGCGAAGAACCUUACCAGGUCUUGACAUCCCAUUGACCGCUAUGGAGACAUAGCUUUCCCUUCGGGGACAGUGGUGACAGGUGGUGCAUGGUUGUCGUCAGCUCGUGUCGUGAGAUAUUGGGUUAAGUCCCGCAACGAGCGCAACCCUUGUUCUUAGUUGCCAUCAUUUAGUUGGGCACUCUAAGGAGACUGCCGGUGACAAACCGGAGGAAGGUGGGGAUGGACGUCAAAUCAUCAUGCCCCUUAUGACCUGGGCUACACACGUGCUACAAUGGACGGUACAAACGGUUGCCAACCCGCGAGGGGAGCUAAUCCGAUAAAACCGUUCUCAGUUCGGAUUGUAGGCUGCAACUCGCCUACA
rnacentral:rRNA from 1 species